rnacentral:rRNA from 1 species
GAUGAACGCUGGCGGCGUGCCUAAUACAUGCAAGUCGAGCGAACAGAUGAGGAGCUUGCUCCUCUGACGUUAGCGGCGGACGGGUGAGUAACACGUGGAUAACCUACCUAUAAGACUGGGAUAACUUCGGGAAACCGGAGCUAAUACCGGAUAAUAUAUUGAACCGCAUGGUUCAAUAGUGAAAGACGGUUUUGCUGUCACUUAUAGAUGGAUCCGCGCCGCAUUAGCUAGUUGGUAAGGUAACGGCUUACCAAGGCGACGAUGCGUAACCGACCUGAGAGGGAGAUCGGCCACACUGGAACUGAGACACGGUCCAGACUCCUACGGGAGGCAGCAGUAGGGAAUCUUCCGCAAUGGGGGAAAGCCUGACGGAGCAACGCCGCGUGAGUGAUGAAGGUCUUCGGCUCGUAAAACUCUGUUAUUAGGGAAGAACAAAUGUGUAAGUAACUAUGCACGUCUUGACGGUACCUAAUCAGAAAGCCACGGCUAACUACGUG